UUUUCCCUGAGCCGAUGUUGCCAGCAAGUGCUCCGGUGGUGGUGUGGUUGUAGAGCCCUGAAGCCGUGGUGAUGGCCAGCGGCGUUUCAGGAGGGCGACUUCCUUCCAUCCACUUGGACGGCUCAUGCAUGGACCAUAUGGAAGGAAGCAUAGAAGAUAUGAGACAUUUUUGGUGAUUCGAGUGAGGAGGAUAUGGCAGGGUACUUAGUCUGAAUUUUGAAAAUGGUGAACAAUAGGAUAUGACAUGUGAUAAGUUGUGGUUUCUCAAAUACUUAGCAGUUAUGACAUGAUUUUGGUGACCCCUAUUCAGAACAGGGCGUCUACAACGCUCUCUUUUUAUGUGUAAUAUGGAUGUUGGCGUUGAAUUUGAGACUUCAUUUGAUA